AUAACAGGCUGAUCUUGCCCAAGAGUCCAUAUCGACGGCAUGGUUUGGCACCUCGAUGUCGGCUCGUCGCAUCCUGGGGCUGGAGUCGGUCCCAAGGGUUGGGCUGUUCGCCCAUUAAAGCGGCACGCGAGCUGGGUUUAGAACGUCGUGAGACAGUUCGGUCCCUAUCCGCCACGCGCGUAAGAGUCUUGAGGAGAUCUGUCCCUAGUACGAGAGGACCGGGACGGACGAACCUCUGGUGUGCCAGUUGUCCUGCCAAGGGCACGGCUGGUUAGCUACGUUCGGAAGGGAUAACCGCUGAAAGCAUCUAAGCGGGAAGCCCACUCCAAGAUAAGGGCUCUCACUGGUUUACCAGGUAAGGACCCCAGCUAGACGACUGGGUUGAUAGGCCGGAUGUGGAAGCACAGCAAUGUGUGGAGCUGACCGGUACUAAUAGUCCGAGGACUUGCUUAC
rnacentral:rRNA from 1 species